AUUUAUAAUAGUUUAAUAAAAAUAAUAGUUUGUGGUACUGUAGAUGAAGAUUUUCUUCUUUAAAUC
rnacentral:tRNA from 1 species